rnacentral:rRNA from 1 species
GACGAACGCUGGCGGCGUGCUUAACACAUGCAAGUCGAACGGAAAGGCCCUGCUUUUGUGGGGUGCUCGAGUGGCGAACGGGUGAGUAACACGUGAGUAACCUGCCCUUGACUUUGGGAUAACUUCAGGAAACUGGGGCUAAUACCGGAUAGGAGCUCCUGCUGCAUGGUGGGGGUUGGAAAGUUUCGGCGGUUGGGGAUGGGCUCGCGGCUUAUCAGCUUGUUGGUGGGGUAGUGGCUUACCAAGGCUUUGACGGGUAGCCGGCCUGAGAGGGUGACCGGCCACAUUGGGACUGAGAUACGGCCCAGACUCCUACGGGAGGCAGCAGUGGGGAAUAUUGCACAAUGGGCGGAAGCCUGAUGCAGCAACGCCGCGUGCGGGAUGACGGCCUUCGGGUUGUAAACCGCUUUCGCCUGUGGCGAAGCGUGAGUGACGGUAAUGGGUAAAGAAGCACCGGCUAACUACGUG